rnacentral:rRNA from 1 species
GACGAACGCUGGCGGCGCGCCUAACACAUGCAAGUCGAACGAGGUCUUUUAGGAAGCUUGCUUCUUGGCUGACCUAGUGGCGGACGGGUGAGUAACACGUGAGCAACCUGCCCUAAAGAGGGGGAUAACGUCUGGAAACGGACGCUAAUACCGCAUACGAUACCGAAGUGGCAUCGCUUUGGUAUGAAAGGAGAAAUCCGCUUUGGGAUGGGCUCGCGCCCGAUUAGGUAGUUGGUGAGGUAACGGCUCACCAAGCCGACGAUCGGUAGCCGGACUGAGAGGUUGAUCGGCCACAUUGGGACUGAGACACGGCCCAGACUCCUACGGGAGGCAGCAGUGGGGGAUAUUGCACAAUGGGGGAAACCCUGAUGCAGCGACGCCGCGUGAGUGAAGACGGCCUUCGGGUUGUAAAGCUCUGUUGAGGGGGACGAUAAUGACGGUACCCCUUUAGAAAGCCACGGCUAACUACGUGCCAGCAGCCGCAGUAAAAC